rnacentral:rRNA from 1 species
UACAGAGGGGGCAAGCGUUGUUCGGAAUUACUGGGCGUAAAGGGCGCGUAGGUGGCCUUCUAAGUUGAACGUGAAAUCCCUGGGCUCAACCCAGGAACUGCGUCCAAGACUGGGAGGCUUGAAUCCGGGAGAGGGGUGCGGAAUUCCAGGUGUAGCGGUGAAAUGCGUAGAUAUCUGGAGGAACACCGGUGGCGAAGGCGGCAUCCUGGACCGGUAUUGACACUGAGGCGCGAAAGCCAGGGGAGCAAACGGG